rnacentral:rRNA from 1 species
UCGAACGGUAACAGGUUAAGCUGACGAGUGGCGAACGGGUGAGUAAUGCAUCGGAACGUGCCCGAUCGUGGGGGAUAACGCAGCGAAAGCUGCGCUAAUACCGCAUACGAUCUGAGGAUGAAAGCGGGGGACCGUAAGGCCUCGCGCGAUCGGAGCGGCCGAUGUCAGAUUAGGUAGUUGGUGGGGUAAAGGCUCACCAAGCCAACGAUCUGUAGCUGGUCUGAGAGGACGACCAGCCACACUGGGACUGAGACACGGCCCAGACUCCUACGGGAGGCAGCAGUGGGGAAUUUUGGACAAUGGGCGAAAGCCUGAUCCAGCAAUGCCGCGUGCAGGAAGAAGGCCUUCGGGUUGUAAACUGCUUUUGUACGGAGCGAAAAGGCUCUCUCUAAUACAGGGGGCUCAUGACGGUACCGUAAGAAUAAGCACCGGCUAACUACGUGCCAGCAGCCGCGGUAAUACGUAGGGUGCAAGCGUUAAUCGGAAUUACUGGGCGUAAAGCGUGCGCAGGCGGUUUUGUAAGACAGGCGUGAAAUCCCCGGGCUCAACCUGGGAAUGGCGCUUGUGACUGCAAAGCUGGAGUGCGGCAGAGGGGGAUGGAAUUCCGCGUGUAGCAGUGAAAUGCGCAGAUAUGCGGAGGAACACCGAUGGCGAAGGCAAUCCCCUGGGCCUGCACUGACGCUCAUGCACGAAAGCGUGG